rnacentral:rRNA from 1 species
CCCUUAGAUGUUCUGGGCCGCACGCGCGCUACACUGACACGUUCAUCAAGUCUAUAACCUUGACCGAGAGGUCUGGGUAAUCUUUUAAAAACGUGUCGUGCUGGGGAUAGAUUAUUGCAAUUAUUAAUCUUCAACGAGGAAUUCCUAGUAAACGCAAGUCAUCAACUUGCAUUGAUUACGUCCCUGCCCUUUGUACACACCGCCCGUCGCUCCUACCGAUUGAGCGAUCCGGUGAAUGUUUUGGACUGGCGUCAGAAGCGGUUCGCUCCUGACACUACGAAAUUUUGUAAACCUUAUCGCUUAGAGGAAGGAAAAGUCGUAACA